rnacentral:rRNA from 1 species
AUUGAACGCUGGCGGCAGGCCUAACACAUGCAAGUCGAACGAGUGGCGGACGGGUGAGUAAUGUCUGGGAAACUGCCCGAUGGAGGGGGAUAACUACUGGAAACGGUAGCUAAUACCGCAUACCAUCGGAUGUGCCCAGAUGGGAUUAGCUUGUAGGUGAGGUAACGGCUCACCUAGGCGACGAUCCCUAGCUGGUCUGAGAGGUUGACCAGCCAGGCUGGAGCUGAGAACCGGUCCAGUCGCCUACGGGAGGCAGCAGUGGGGAAUAUGGCACAAUGGGCGCGAGCCUGAUGCAGCCAGGCCGCGUGUAUGAAGAAGGACUUCGGGUUGUAAAGUACUUUCAUCGGGGUGGCGUUACCCGCAGAAGAAGCAACGGCUAACUACGUGCCAGCAGCCGCGGUAAUAC